UACGUAGGGGGCAAGCGUUGUCCGGAAUCACUGGGCGUAAAGCGCACGUAGGCGGAUUGUUAAGUCAGGGGUGAAAUCCUGGAGCUCAACUCCAGAACUGCCUUUGAUACUGGGGAUCUCGAGUCCGGGAGAGGUGAGUGGAACUGCGAGUGUAGAGGUGAAAUUCGUAGAUAUUCGCAAGAACACCAGUGGCGAAGGCGGCUCACUGGCCCGGAACUGACGCUGAGGUGCGAAAGCGUGGGGAGCAAACAGG
rnacentral:rRNA from 1 species